rnacentral:rRNA from 1 species
AUUGAACGCUGGCGGCAGGCCUAACACAUGCAAGUCGAGCGGAGCGGCGGACGGGUGAGUACUGCCUAGGACUCUGCCUGGUCGUGGGGGAUAACGUCCGGAAACGGGCGCUAAUACCGCAUACUAUCAGAUGAUCCUAGGCCGGAUUAGCUAGUUGGUGGGGUAAAGGCCUACCAAAGCGACGAUCCUUAACUGGUAUGAGCGGAUGAUCAGUCACACUGGAACUGAGACACGGUCCAGACUCCUACGGGAGGCAGCAGUGGGGAAUAUUGGACAAUGGGCGAAAGCCUGAUGCAGCCAGGCCGCGUGUGUGAAGAAGGUCUUCGGAUUGUAAAGCACUUUAAGUUGGGAGGCGUUACCAACAGAAUAAGCACCGGCUAACUUCGUGCCAGCAGCCGCGGUAAUUC